GGCCCGUAGCUCAGUGGGUAGAGCACCGGCCACAUACACUGAGGCUAGCGGGUUCAAACCCUGCCUGGGCCA
rnacentral:tRNA from 1 species